rnacentral:tRNA from 1 species
GCGAGCGUGGCGAAAUUGGUAGACGCACUGGAUUUAGGUUCCAGCGCCGAAAGGCAUGGGAGUUCGAUUCUCCCCGCUCGCACCA